GUUUGUUAUUAUCCUUCUGGGAUGAAUACCUAUUUCUCGGUUGUUAAAUUAUCGCAAUUUUACAUAAAAAAAUACUCUAAAGGAUUGAUUGUAAACAUCGUUUGACAUGUUUCUACAAACGGUAAUGGAACUUUUGAACAUUUUGUCUAUGGAUUUGUGUCCACGCCAUAUGGCAUUGUAAAGUGUUCUAGAUGGGUCAACAAAACGGAUGUAUUUGGACAUAAAUGAUGUACUUUGCAGAACAAAUGAACAAUUCUUGUGGAAGUGGGUGCCCUUCCGAGUGCAUUCCGCCGAAGAUCAGCAAAGAUCUUCAAGCAGUGGAGAUGAGGAUAAUAAUGAAACUGGAGAUGAUCCGUACAGAGUUCAAGACUGCUCUGAACCAAGUUAUGGAGGCCAUAGAGGCCCGGCAGCCAAUGGAGUCAGAGUCCUUGGGGCAACUUGAAAUGCUGCAAAACCCUACAGAAACAAAUGAGGAACUGAAGG
rnacentral:lncRNA from 1 species